ACUACGGGUGGCUGCAGUGAGGAAUAUUGGUCAAUGGGCGCGAGCCUGAACCAGCCAAGUCGCGUGAGGGAGGACGGCCCUACGGGUUGUAAACCUCUUUUGCCGGGGAGCAACGGGCGCCACGUGUGGCGUCACUGAGAGUACCCGGAGAAAAAGCAUCGGCUAACUCCGUGCCAGCAGCCGCGGUACUACGGGGGGUGCGAGCGUUAUCCGGAUUUAUUGGGUUUAAAGGGUGCGUAGGCGGAUCGUUAAGUCAGUGGUCAAAUUGAGGGGCUCAACCCCUUCCCGCCAUUGAAACUGGCGUUCUUGAGUGGAAGAGAGGUAUGCGGAAUGCGUGGUGUAGCGGUGAAAUGCAUAGAUAGCACGCAGAACCCCGAUUGCGAAGGCAGCAUGCCGGCUUCCGACUGACGCUGAAGCACGAAAGCGUGGGGAUCGAACAGGAUUAGAUACCCGAGUAGUC
rnacentral:rRNA from 1 species